AAUCAACGCUGGCGGCGUGCCUAACACAUGCAAGUCGAGCGCGAAAGGGGGGCAACCCCCAAGUAGAGCGGCGAACGGGUGAGUAACGCGUGGGUAAUUUGCCUUCGAGUGGGGAAUAACAGCGGGAAACUGCUGCUAAUACCGCAUGACAUUCCCGGGGCCUUCGGGUCUGGGAAUCAAAGCUGGGGACCGUAAGGCCUAGCGCUUGAAGAGAAGCCCGCGUCCGAUUAGCUAGUUGGCGGGGUAAUGGCCCACCAAGGCGACGAUCGG
rnacentral:rRNA from 1 species